rnacentral:lncRNA from 1 species
GUUAUGGAAUAUGCAUGUGAGUUAUGGGAUGGUUGUACUCAACAAGAAGCCGACAAUUUAGAACAUGUUCAGUUAGAAGCAGGGAGGUUAGUAACUGGGUUGCCCGUGUUUGCUAGUCGGGAAGCUAUAUAUUUCGAAACUGGCUGGCAAUUGCUUGUGGACAGAAGAAAGUCCAGAAAGCUCAAUAUGUUCUAUUCUUUACAUAAUGGGACUGCCCCUGAUUAUCUCUGUGAUUUAAUACCCCCGC